GCUAAUCUGCGAUAAGCGCCGGUAAGGUGAUAUGAACCGUUAUAACCGGCGAUACCCGAAUGGGGAAACCCAGUGUGACUCGUCACACUAUCAUUAACUGAAUCCAUAGGUUAAUGAGGCGAACCGGGGGAACUGAAACAUCUAAGUACCCCGAGGAAAAGAAAUCAACCGAGAUUCCCCCAGUAGCGGCGAGCGAACGGGGAGGAGCCCAGAGCCUGAAUCAGCAUGUGUGUUAGUGGAAGCGUCUGGAAAGGCGCGCGAUACAGGGUGACAGCCCCGUACACAAAAGCGCAUGUGCUGUGAGCUCGAUGAGUAGGGCGGGACACGUGGUAUCCUGUCUGAAUAUGGGGGGACCAUCCUCCAAGGCUAAAUACUCCUGACUGACCGAUAGUGAACCAGUACCGUGAGGGAAAGGCGAAAAGAACCCCGGCGAGGGGAGUGAAAAAGAACCUGAAACCGUGUACGUACAAGCAGUGGGAGCCCCACCACCAAAGCAUUUGCUGUACCGCGUUGACGGAGCGAAGCGACGUCAAACCGAUAAAACAGCAGUGUAAAGUGAGCCGCAGGGCGCUUUGCGCGACAGCGCAAAGGCAGGCGGUUUCGCGUAGCGAAAGCGAAUGCUUUGGGGUGGGGUGACUGCGUACCUUUUGUAUAAUGGGUCAGCGACUUAUAUUCUGUAGCAAGGUUAACCGAAUAGGGGAGCCGGAGGGAAACCGAGUCUUAAUUGGGCGUUAAGUUGCAGGGUAUAGACCCGAAACCCGGUGAUCUAGCCAUGGGCAGGUUGAAGGUUGGGUAACACUAACUGGAGGACCGAACCGACUAAUGUUGAAAAAUUAGCGGAUGACCUGUGGCUGGGGGUGAAAGGCCAAUCAAACCGGGAGAUAGCUGGUUCUCCCCGAAAGCUAUUUAGGUAGCGCCUCGUGAAUUCAUCUCCGGGGGUAGAGCACUGUUUCGGCUAGGGGGCCAUCCCGGCUUACCAACCCGAUGCAAACUGCGAAUACCGGAGAAUGUUAUCACGGGAGACACACGGCGGGUGCUAACGUCCGUCGUGAAGAGGGAAACAACCCAGACCGCCAGCUAAGGUCCCAAAGUCAUGGUUAAGUGGGAAACGAUGUGGGAAGGCCCAGACAGCCAGGAUGUUGGCUUAGAAGCAGCCAUCAUUUAAAGAAAGCGUAAUAGCUCACUGGUCGAGUCGGCCUGCGCGGAAGAUGUAACGGGGCUAAACCAUGCACCGAAGCUGCGGCAGCGACACUGUGUGUUGUUGGGUAGGGGAGCGUUCUGUAAGCCUGUGAAGGUGUGUCGUGAGGC
rnacentral:rRNA from 1 species